CCUACGGGAGGCAGCAGUGGGGAAUAUUGCGCAAUGGGCGAAAGCCUGACGCAGCGACGCCGCGUGAGGGAUGAAGGUCUUCGGAUCGUUAAACUCUGUCAGCAGGGAAGAACGGUCACUGUGCUAAUCAGCAGUGAAUUGACGUUACCUGCAAAGGAAGCACCGGCUAACUCCGUGCCAGCCGCCGCGGUUAUACGGAGGGUGCGAGCGUUAAUCUGAAUUAGUGGGCGUAAAGCGCUCGUAGGCGGUAUGUCAAGUCAAGGGUGAUAUCCCCGCGCUCAACGUGGGAACUGCCGUUGAAACUGGCAAACUUGAGUGUGUGAGAGGAUAGUGGAAUGCCAGGUGUAGGAGUGAAAUCCGUAGAUAUCUGGCAGAACAUCAGUGGCGAAGGCGACUAUCUGGCACAUAACUGACGCUGAGGAGCGAAAGCGUGGGUAGCAAACAGGAUUAGAUACCCUGGUAGUC
rnacentral:rRNA from 1 species